CUCAGCAGGUCUAGUAAACAGUCUGUUACACAGUCACUCAGCAGGUCUAGUAAACAGCCUGUUACACAGUCACUCAGCAGGUCUAGUAAACAGCCUGUUACACAGUCACUCAGCAGGUGGGCAGCAGGUCUAGUAAACAGCCUGUUACACAGUCACUCAGCAGGUCUAGUAAACAGUCUGUUACACAGUCACUCAGCAGGUCUAGUAAACAGCCUGUUACACAGUCACUCAGCAGGUCUAGUAAACAGCCUGUUACACAGUCACUCAGCAGGUCUAGUAAACAGCCUGUUACACAGUCACUCAGCAGGUCUAGUAAACAGUCUGUUACACAGUCACUCAGCAGGUCUAGUAAACAGUCUGUUACACAGUCACUCAGCAGGUCUAGUAAACAGUCUGUUACACAGUCACUCAGCAGGUCUAGUAAACAGUCUGUUACACAGUCACUCAGCAGGUCUAGUAAACAGUCUGUUACACAGUCACUCAGCAGGUCUAGUAAACAGCCUGUUACACAGUCACUCAGCAGGUCUAGUACACAGUCUGUUACACAGUCACUCAGCAGGUCUAGUAAACAGUCUGUUACACAGUCACUCAGCAGGUCUAGUAAACAGCCUGUUACACAGUCACUCAGCAGGUGAGCAGCAGGUCUAGUAAACAGCCUGUUACACAGUCACUCAGCAGGUGGGCAGCAGGUCUAGUAAACAGCCUGGGUGGGGAGGGAGGGGGGGGGGGGGGGGUCAGUGGUUAUAUCAUCUCCUCUAAUAUACAAUUACCUUCAGAAACCAACCAAGUGAUGGAUGGCUCCUCAAAUACAGGCCAGAAAACUCAUUCUGCAGAUGGAUGAUGAUGAUGUGAACUAUGGCCAGACAGUGAUCAGCUGUGAGAUGUGCUCUACUGUCCUCAUAUACUCCAGCUAGUUAAGUCAGUGUACCUUUUUAGUGGCACCUGUGUCAUGGUGGACUGUGGAGUCUCAGAGAUGCAGAGGGUUCUUAUGAAGGCCGACUCAGUGUCCCACCCUGAUCUGUUUCACCUGUCUUGUGCUUGUCUCCACCCCUCCACCAGGUGUCUCCUAUUCUCCCCCCAUUAUCCCCUGUGUUUUUAUACCUGUGUUUUCUGUCUGUCUGUUGGAAGUUUUUCUGGUUUUGUCAGGUCUUACCAGUGUGUUUAUCAUUUUCUACAGUUCGGUAGUUCUUGUUUUCUAGUCUUCUAGACCUUUCUUCCUGUCCUGACCCUGAGCCUGCCUGCCAUUCUGUCCCUGAUUGACUCUGCCUUGGAUUACGAACCUCUGCCUGCACUCGAACCUGCACUUUUGCCUACCCCUUUUGUUAUAAUAAAUAUUCUGAGAACCGAACUAUCCGCCUCCUGUGUCUGUAUCUGGGUCAUUUUUCCUGAGUCGGGAUACUCAGCUCAGCAGGCUUCACUGAAGGGUUUGACAAAGCACUGAGGAACAAAAUAAUGGCGGAGUCCCAAAUGACCAUUACAAGGGGCAUCACGAUCUCCAAAACGUUAGUCAAGCCUAUUAGUCAAUUCUGACAGACACAAACCCUAUUAGUUCUAGUGGUGUUGGAAGAAUGCAAUGCUACCACUUUGUUGGAGGUACAAUGGAACACAUCCACUUUAACAAUAUAAUUGGUUAGUAAUACGCCUUCAAUGCCAAGAA
rnacentral:lncRNA from 1 species